CGAGACCAGGACGUUGAUAGGUCAGGUGUGUAAGCGCAGUAAUGCGUUCAGCUAACUGAUACUAAUUGCCCGUAAGGCUUGAUCCUAUAACA
rnacentral:rRNA from 3 species